rnacentral:rRNA from 1 species
UACGGAGGGUGCAAGCGUUGUCCGGAAUCACUGGGUGUAAAGGGUGUGUAGGCGGGAUUGUAAGUCAGAGGUGAAAUCCUACAGCUCAACUGUAGAACUGCCUUUGAUACUGCAAUUCUUGAGUUUCGGAGAGGUCAUUAGAAUUCGUGGUGUAGCGGUGAAAUGCGUAGAUAUCACGAGGAAUACCAGAGGCGUAGGCGGAUGACUGGACGAAUACUGACGCUGAGGCACGAAAGCGUGGGGAGCAAACAGGAUUAGAUACCCGCGUA